AAAUGACACAUCGAAAGGAAAACCAUCUUCAUGUAUCGGAAAAUGGUCCACUGAAGCGUGUGAAGAAACUGUAUUUUGAUGAUGAAACACUUCCAGUGCCACAUUCUACGCACUAUUGGAGACAGACUACACAAAUAAACUACACAAAUAUCUGAAUAAUGUUAUGAAAAAGAUGGAUGAAAUCCACCUAUUACAGUUACCAGAAGCUCCUGUAGUUAGUCACCUAAUUCCAGUUUAGUUCGUUGAGAUUCUUGUGAUGGUGAAUGUUGAGGAACUCUGUGAAGUCCUAGUGUUUUAAUUGACACAAGAUUACAUGCAAAUUCAGAAGACACUAAGUAUGCAGAAUUCCGAACAGAUACAGUAAUUUUUUUUUUAAAUAAUGUGUAAUUUGGUGACAAAUUAUAGUCAGUUAUAUACAUGUAUAUGUAUGUGUGUAGCAGAAGAUUUUGUAAGGACUUAAAGGAGAAGUACUUUUUGGUAUUUCAGGGAUAAUUUUCUCCAGUUCUCCAUAAAAGCUUAUGUUUGGAUACUCAUUAGGAGUGCCUCGUAACAUUGUUUCUAGUGAGUACCCACAUAAUGUUUUAGGAUUAGAAAUAAGACAAAGUAUCCCAGACCUAUCAACAAACACUCCUCCUUAACAUUAGUCCUCUGUUUGUGUAUGAUAUAUAUAUAUCUCAUGAUAUGACAGCAAUAUCUUGCAGACACCACAGCAAGCAAAGUUUCAAUGUGAAAAUUGUUUUGAAAUAUAAUUUGAAAGAAGUCAAAUUAUCAUUGUCUGAACUAGUUUAUUUUAAAUAUGUAGAACAAUUGUAGGACAAUUGUAGACUUUGGUUCUAGACCUGUUCUAUAUGUGUUCUUAUUCCCCAUUAGAAUGUUUGUAGAACUUACUGGUUCUUAAAGAGUUCUAAAUGUGUUCUAGAACUACAGUUUAGAACAUUUUUAGAAAUUUCUUGAACUUAUUUUGUUCUAGAAAUGUUCUAAAAAUGUUCUUGUGUAUUAUUGGAACAGUUUCAGAACUAAGCCUUGUUCCACAAAUGUCUGGAAUUAUUCUAGAAAACAGUUCUGGAACAAUUCCAGAACAUAAGUUCUAGAACGCGAAUAUGGAACAUUCUAGAACUGUUCUUGAUGUUCUAGAACAGUUCCAGAACCGUUCCAAUUUCUAGAACAAAUCUUCGCAGGGGAACAAGCC